AGUUAUAUUAACUGCUUUUGGGAACAGAAGCCUUCUUACCCAUUGUGAGAUCCAUUUCACCUUCCUUUAGGUGUCUACGGAAUAAAUACCUACAGCUAGGGCUGUCAGCUAUCUAAGGCUGUUGCUUCAGAUUUCCACUGUGGAAGCGGGAUAGAAGAAACAUUGACACAGAGCUCAUCUGACCCACCUUCACCAGCAAAUACUUCAAAAGCAGAUGACUUGCCUACCAAAAAUAAAAAAGGACAAGAGAAGCUGUCUCUGUUUAAUGCAGCGAUCUCCAGAUUUAUAGAGUCUUUCAGUGCAAUGAAAAGAUGUUGCUUGGUCCUCAAUGAAUUCCGUGGAAGUACCAAAGGGAAAGAAUUCCCUAAGACCAGCGCUGCGUUGGUGAGCGGUCAAAACAGCUGCCUUAAAACAACAAAGACUUUUGUGGCCCUCUCCUCUGUCCCUUGA
rnacentral:lncRNA from 1 species